GACGAACGCUGGCGGCGUGCUUAACACAUGCAAGUCGAACGGACAGGCCCUGCUUUUGUUGGGUGCUCGAUUGGCGAACGGGUGAGUAACACGUGAGUAACCUGCCCUUGACUUUGGGAUAACUUCAGGAAACUGGGGCUAAUACCGGAUAUGAUCUCUUGCUGCAUGUUGGGGGUUGGAAAGUUUCGGCGGUUGGGGAUGGACUCGCUGCUUAUCAGCUUGUUUGUGGGGUAGUGGCGUACCAAGGCUUUGACGGGUAGCCGGCCUGAGAGGGUGACCGGGCACAUGGGGCCUGAGAUACGGCCCAGACGGCUACGGGACGCAGCGGUGGGGAACAUUACACAAUAGGCGGAAGCCAGAUACAGCAACGCCGCGUGCGGGAUGACGGGCUUUGGGUUGUAAACCGCUGUCGCCUGUGACGAAGCGUGAGUGACGGUAAUGGGUAAAGAAGCACCGGCUAACUACGUG
rnacentral:rRNA from 1 species